AUCCUCGUUCCCAGGGCUUCUCCGCUGCCUUAUUUAUGGCAAUGUGAGGCAGCCGAGAAGCCCUGGGAACGAGGAUGG